rnacentral:rRNA from 1 species
UACGGGGGGAGCAAGCGUUGUUCGGAUUUACUGGGCGUAAAGGGCGCGUAGGCGGUCGUGACAAGUCACUUGUGAGAUCUCCGGGCUUAACUCGGAACGGUCAAGUGAUACUGUCGGACUAGAGUACAGAAGGGGCAACUGGAAUUCUCGGUGUAGCGGUGAAAUGCGUAGAUAUCGAGAGGAACACCUGCGGCGAAGGCGGGUUGCUGGGCUGAUACUGACGCUGAGGCGCGAAAGCCAGGGGAGCGAACGGG